UACGUAGGAUGCAAGCGUUGUCCGGAAUUACUGGGCGUAAAGCGCGUGUAGGUGGUGGGACAAGUCUGCUGUGAAAGCGCCUGGCUUAACCGGGCGAGGUCGGCGGAAACUGUCACACUUGAGGACGGUAGAGGGGGGUGGAAUUCCCGGUGUAGUGGUGAAAUGCGUAGAGAUCGGGAGGAACACCUGUGGCGAAGGCGGCCCCCUGGGCCGGCCCUGAGACUGAGACGCGAAGGCGUGGGGAGCGAACGGG
rnacentral:rRNA from 1 species